AUCCAGCUGAUGAGUCCCAUAGGCUGGACGAAACGCGCGUCCUGGAU
rfam:Schistosoma rodhaini strain Burundi genome assembly, scaffold: SROB_scaffold0010637